AUGCAUCCUUCCUGUUUCCCUUCAGAGAAAAGCAGGCCUAGGCCUCCCAGCGGUAUCAACGAAAUAGAGCAUAUCACGUUAUAGCAAGGCCUGGCACAUACCCUCAUAUCAAGGCUGGACAAGGCAAUCCAGUAGAAGAAAAAGUGUCCCAAAAGCAGCAGAAAAGUCAGAGGCAACACCCACCCAUUCCCACAAUUAGGAGUUUAGGGGUAUAGGUGGCUUAUUCAGACUCCUAAAACAGACCUAAAAUUAUCAGUUCUACUUGGUCUAAAACGUACUUUAAGACAUGGCUUCAGAUUGCCUCUUCAGGCCUUGUUCAGCUCUGCAAAUGAUCCGCAUUCUGCAUCUGCCUCUUUGUUGUUGCUCAAACAUGCUCGUAAAUGCCACAUGUCUGUCGGUGCUGUGCCCACAUCCUCAUCCUGUGAGCUCUGGCACUGAAGCUGCUGCCCUCAGAAGUUGUUCCCAAGUCCUUGGCAAGGUCCUUUGCAUCUAUAUUAUUACUUUCAGUUUAGUGGUUUUUGGCCUUCUGGAAUGUGAAAAUAAAGCGGGUCUCUGUGUCUGUAUUUGUUUCUUAUUCCUUCUCUUAGGAUCCUCCCUGUUUGCUUGUUCAAUCCAAUUCCCAUGUGUUAUAUUUGUUUUAUCUUAUUGUACGUUGUUGUAUUAAAUUUUAUUUUAUUUUGUUAUUAUACCAUAGAACCCUGAGCUGUGUGGAGUAGAGGGAGGGGAAAUUGUAAUCAGGAUAAAUUAUGU
rnacentral:sRNA from 1 species